GAUGAACGCUAGCGGUAGGCUUAAUACAUGCAAGUCGAGGGGCAGCGAGGUUAGCAAUAACUGUCGGCGACCGGCGUACGGGUGAGUAACACGUACCCAAUCUACCUCAUACUGAAGCAUAGCCCUUGGAAACGAGGAUUAAUACUUCAUAACAUAGUGAAAUGGCAUCAUUUUGCUAUUAAAGCUCCGGCGGUAUGAGAUGAGGGUGCGUCCCAUUAGUUAGUGGCGGGGUAACGGCCCACUAAGACGAUGAUGGGUAACUGGCGUGAGAGCGCGACCAGUCACACGGGCACUGAGACACGGGCCCGACUCCUACGGGAGGCAGCAGUAGGGAAUAUUGGGCAAUGGAGGCAACUCUGACCCAGCCAUACCGCGUGCAGGAUGGAAGGCCCCUCUGGGUUGUAAACUGCUUUUAUCAGGGAAGAAACGCUAGGAUUUAUCUUAGCCUGACGGUACCUGAGGAAUAAGCACCGGCUAACUCCGUGCCAGCCGCCGCCGU
rnacentral:rRNA from 1 species